GUCAAUAACUCAGGUCUAAAGACACUGAGCUUGUAAUCAACAAAGAUUACGUGUUUGACUAGCUCACUAGAAUAUUUUUCUAGUUCCAAAACUAAUCUUGAUACGCACUUCCAAAUACUUCCCCAGUUUGGAUUAUCUGCAAGACUGUUUGUUCAGUCGUUGGGUCAAGCCAAGACAUUUUAGAUUAGUUGGGCGAGGGGACUUAAACUUUACUCCAAGGA
rnacentral:sRNA from 1 species